GUGCAGCAGGCGCGAAAACUCCGCAAUGCGCGAAAGCGUGACGGGGGAACCCCAAGUGCCGUUGGUCUUUUGAUCGGCGGCUUUUCGGAAGUCUAAGAAGCUUCCGGAAUAAGGGCUGGGCAAGUCUGGUGCCAGCCGCCGCGGUAAUACCAGCAGCCCAAGUGGUGGUCGCGUUUAUUGGGCCUAAAGCGCUCGUAGCCGGGCCUGUAAGUCCCUUGUGAAAUCGGACGGCUCAACCGUUCGGCUUGCAAGGGAGACUGCUAGCCUUGGAACCGGGAGAGGUCGGAGGUACUUCGGGGGUAGCGGUGAAAUGCUGUAAUCCCCGGGGGACCACCAGUGGCGAAGGCGUCCGACCAGAACGGAUUCGACGGUGAGGGGCGAAGGCUGGGGGAGCGAACGGGAUUAGAUACCCCCGUAGUCC
rnacentral:rRNA from 1 species